AUAGGACAUGCAAAAUCAUAUGUCGGAUAGACCCUGCAAAUAAAAAUAACGAAAUAUUGAUUAUCUAUAGUACGUGGAUGAUGCUCAAGUUUACACCUAUAGAUGGUGUACCUAGUUGCAUUUCUUUCCAAAAAUAUAAAUUCUCUUCUAAAGCUGCAAGGGUAACAAUUGUG